rnacentral:sRNA from 1 species
GGGAGCUGGCCUGGAGGGGGUAGAUAGCGGUCCUGGACUGAAUCGGCCUUAUGAACCCGCGCUUUCCCCAGCCUCCAGCGUAGCAUACUGACACCUACCCCCACCCCCACCUGAUCGCCAGACCUCAGGGUUUUCCGGAGCUGAAGAAUGACACAUUCCUGCGAGCAGCCUGGGGAGAGGAAACAGACUACACUCCCGUUUGGUGCAUGCGCCAGGCAGGCCGUUACUUACCAGAGUUUAGGGAAACCCGGGCUGCCCAGGACUUUUUCAGCACGUGUCGCUCUCCUGAGGCCUGCUGUGAACUGACUCUGCAGGUGAGGGGUCCACAAAAGAGGGAAAGAUUUAUGCCUUCAGUCUGCCACCUAGCAACCUGUCUCCUGUUUCCUACAGCCACUGCGUCGAUUCCCUCUGGAUGCUGCCAUCAUUUUCUCCGACAUCCUUGUUGUACCCCAGAUGUUUUCUCCCCCUCCAGGCACUGGGCAUGGAGGUGACCAUGGUACCUGGCAAAGGACCCAGCUUCCCAGAGCCAUUAAGAGAAGAGCAGGACCUAGAACGCCUACGGGAUCCAGAAGUGGUAGCCUCUGAGCUAGGCUAUGUGUUCCAAGCCAUCACCCUUACCCGACAACGACUGGCUGGACGUGUGCCGCUGAUUGGCUUUGCUGGUGCCCCAUGGACCCUGAUGACAUACAUGGUUGAGGGUGGUGGCUCAAGCACCAUGGCUCAGGCCAAGCGCUGGCUCUAUCAGAGACCUCAGGCUAGUCACCAGCUGCUUCGCAUCCUCACCGAUGCUCUGGUCCCAUAUCUGGUAGGACAAGUGGCGGCUGGUGCCCAGGCAUUGCAGCUGUUUGAGUCCCAUGCAGGGCAUCUUGGCCCACAGCUCUUCAACAAGUUUGCACUGCCUUACAUCCGUGAUGUGGCCAAGCAAGUGAAGGCCAGGUUGCGGGAGGCAGGCCUGGCACCAGUGCCCAUGAUCAUCUUUGCUAAGGAUGGGCAUUUUGCCCUGGAGGAGCUGGCCCAAGCUGGCUAUGAGGUGGUUGGGCUUGA